rnacentral:sRNA from 1 species
GGUUCCAGUCUUCGCCGACAAUGCCGGUGCCACCAUCCACCACCACCGGAUUGGAACCGCGCCUGGGCACCACCACCUUCGUGCCGCCUUUGUGAACCAAUUUCUUCACAUUCUUUGCAGCUCAUGAAUGCCUCAUUUCAAAACAAAAAAAACAUUAUCUAUUAUACCAUAAGAGCUCCCCUUUAGCAAUUGGUUAUAUCUUCAGUAAUGACAUUUGAACAUGGACAGAUAGAGGUACAAAUUAUAUGCCCUAAGAGCAUGCAAUUACUAAAUUUGGUAUGGAGUAGGGCAAGUAUAUAUAUAUAAAUUAGUUGUACGGAGUAGAACAGGUAUAUAAUGGGAUUCGUGUUUACCAUGCAAUUCUGAAUUGGUGAUGAAAUUUCAUAGGUUUUAUAUGUGUGAGUUUAUCACUGCUGCUGCUGAUGUUAUAGUUAAAUGAGGACCACUCUGUUAAUGUACUGGAAAUUGGAAACUACAAAUUUAUAUCACUGUUACAUGUUGAUAUUUAUAUAAAAUUCGACUUUUGAGUGUACAACCAGAACUCCGUAUAUUAAAGAUAAGACUCGUAUCAAAAGAAAAUGAGGUUGUCCUCGAAAACCCAUGUGCAAUAUUCACUAUUCAUAUCCUACAAAUUGAUUGAUGGUAUGGAGGGGGCUGGGCUUAGAAUUAUUAAUAUGGUCAACUCAGGCAAUCUUGCAUCUGGUUGCCAUCAGUGGGGCUUUCAUUCAGCAGAAAUUGUCUACAAAAUGCACCCUUUAUAUGUACCUGUUUGCACAUGCUUGUAGGUAUUCCAUGCAUGGGUUAUUUUAGCUGCACAUGUACCGCUCCAAUUUGAGCUAUUUUCAACUAAUUAAUUAUGUAGUUAUUCUCUUGAUUCUCUGAUCCCUCAAAUAUUAAUUAUUCUUUUUGCACCUUGUUUUUACCAAUAUAGCUACCUUAAACUGGUAUAGGAACUAAUAUGCUUUUUAAUAUUUCUAUACAUAUGCGUUAACUCAGAUAGUUGCCCUCCGUGUGUUGUUUUGUUAGCAGGGGCAAUAUCAAGAUAAACCUCAUAUUUCUAUCCUUUUGACAACAUCAUCUUUAUUAAUCUUAAGGUGCAUACAAGUGGUGAAAAUGUAUAUUUAGCUCAUAAGUUGUGACGGUUGGCUAAGUGUAGUAGAUGGAGUUGGCAGAUAGUUAUUGACGGUUGGCUAAGUGUAGUAGAUGGAGUUGGCAGAUGGUUAUUUGGAGGUAACUAAAUGCAUUUUCUUAGAACUACUGCUUUAUUGUAUAACCUGUUUAACUCCAUGGCCUUUGUUGUAAUGCAUCCUCCAGCUUAAUUUGCUUAUUCAUUGUUGUCCUGAUUGCAGGUGCGCGAAAAGGAUUCCAAGGUUCUCAACACAUAGGCUUUCAACUGGGAAAACAAGAACGGCUGGAAGAAGCAUUGCCGCGGGUUGCUACUUGGUCUUUUAGGUCACAAUUCUGGUGUUGGGAGUUGUUUAUUUAUUAAUGAUCAGCGAGUCUCUUGUUGCUACAACAGAAUGGUCUUGUGAUACAGACGAGAAGUCUCCUUCCAUUAACAAUAACACUGGUUGCACAUGCUCUGUCUUCCUGCAAAAGUGUUGUUGGCAUUUGUGAUUUUUGUAGUUGAUUUUACUGAUAAAAAGUGCAGAUCAUGCAAUUUAUUGAU